GUGCUUGCUUCAGCAGCACACAGACUAAAACUGGAACGACAGAGAUUAGCAUGGCCCCUGCGCAAGGAUCACAUGCAAAUUCGUGAAGCGUUCCAUAUUUAA